rnacentral:lncRNA from 1 species
GAAAGGUUACACAACUGAAUGGCUUUACUACUUAUUUUGUACGUGUGGUCCCCUCUAAAGUUGAUGGCUUCCCCACACGAGUGUACAAGGAUUGGAGAAGUUUCAGGAUGUAAUGUAUUUGAAUUAGCAUGAAGGCUUGUGCAAUGGUUUUCUACUGAAUUGCAUCCAUAUUUUUUUUCACUAAAAUACACUUUGGUCUUAAUUGUAUCGUUUAUCUUUAUUAUUAUUUUCUUUUGGACAAGUUCAUGUUGCAUGUAUCGUUUGACCAUUAUGUUGGUUUUUUUCCCCAUAA